CGUUUUCACGUUUUGGGGGACUAUUAGGGGGGAGCGGAAAUGGCGGGCGCGACAGGGGUUACCGCUAAGGCCUCCUCGACGCGGCGAUGACCGACGGCUAGGAGGAGCGGCGGCGGCCGAAGGAGAAGGUCGAGGAGCAGGACGGGUUUAGGAAAGGCGGGAGGGUGAUGCUGCGCGAGCCUUAGGUCUCCAAACGCGGCCACCUCUUCCACCAGCUCCGGAUGCUCCACGAGAGGUUCCUCACCGAACGACUUUGUUUACUGGCCAGUUGACAACUAUAAUAUUUCUAGGCAAUACGCAUACUCGACAACUGUUUAGGUCAAACCUUCGCCCUGAUACUAGAAAAACCAGACCUAGUAGUAUGCCUAUAGAAGCUCUCUCAGUUUCUUGUUAUAGUUUUUCUUGUGAAGGACUUUUAUCUAGAUGGAAACAAUUUUCUAAGAAAUUAAGUAAGUUGGUCAGUACGGAAGUUACAUUAGUGUGCACUGAGUAACUACAGACGAUAACGACUUCUAAUGGGCAACGAGUAUGUCCAAAUAAGUUUCCCCUCAGGAGCGACGCGAGUUAAAAAACUCAUGACCUUCGUUUAACUGUGAGCUGACCUACCGCACCGGUUGUGACGAUACCAUCUUGAACCACUACACGUUGACCGCCCCAUAAAACGUCUUUUUUCCAAGAGAGUUGUCGGUAAAAAGGCGUUACCAUAUGGUCGAGAACAACGUAUAGGACGAUUGACGUCUUCAGGUAGGACAAUAUACUCCAUGGGUCCACUCGAUUGACACCUAAGACAACAGUUGACCCACCGUAGUAGUUAACAACCAAAUGGAGCCUAGAACAUGAUAAGUUUCCUCUGUGACCCUGGGGUCAAGUAACCCUUCUCAUCGGUAGUAUUCCAGUUCCGAUAGAAAAAGAGUUCGUGACCCCUCGCACGCCGAGGUAAGGAAGCGGUUCGACGGGUUCUCAUAAGCUCGAUACGUAGAAAACGUAAACAGGAUACCUUUCUUCUCCUUAGGGUCUAGACCACCUUAAGUAAUCCUCACCUUAGCCGAGGACGUGAACAAAAGAACUUCCCCGGUCCACGGUUCGGACAACAUAUGGUACCUUGAAAAUCAUUCAGGCUCAAGUGUCUCUAUUACCUCCUCGUAUUCGUGGUUCUUGAGGUCGUCGAUUCUUCACUGUGUAGAAACCUAGAACCAACACUACGAUCUCCAGUAAGUGCGCGACCCUUUCUUUAUUACUAUACCAUAACACAUUAUCGACGUCCAGCGGGACCACAUCUUAAUUCAUUUUUCUCUGUUUAAAACUCCUUCCGGGUCCUGGUUGAUGAGUCACGACGACCACUUUCACGAUGACCCUUAAACCUUUUAAAUCAUCUCCAUCGUUCACGACGUCGACGGAAUUUUCUACUGUCCGACUGGAAACAAACCAACCUACCUCUUAAUGUCUUCUUUUAAACACGGAAGAUGGAACGGUGACUAAUGGUACCUCGGACACCAGGAUCUCCAAAACUUCUACUGUUACUAUUCGGACUUCAUAAGUAACAGGCAAAGGUUUCUUUACGUUGUAUGCUCCGUAACUUUCGGCUGUUUUUCUUAUUAGAAUAUCUCUGAGAGGUUCCUGUCCUGUGAGGACUACGGAGGGUCGAUCACCGAUCCAUAUUACCGGGCCUACUUUAAGACCUCUAUUUGUUCACCCAGAGAGUCUAAUAGUUUCUACCUCUGUGAUCUCUUUAAGGAAUGAAAUGAAGUUUCCAUGGUCUAGAACAUGGGCUUCUUUGUUUAUUCCUUACCAAUUCGCCAUGGUUUCCAUAGGCGAGCCGUCCCUUUUCAAAUUUUCUCUCCCAAGUCUUGUCACCGAAGUCAAAGUCUCUAAUGAAUUGACUGGGUUCCUAACCAGGUCGAAACGACUACGAACGUACGUAAAGUACCCCUUGUUAUACCAAGUUCUCAUAGGUUAGUCGAGUCUUCUGAGGUUUCCUGCUUCGAGGAUUUCUGUUCUGGUUGUUUGCAGCGGCAGGCUUCGAAUCGUGCUGUGAGAAACCAGUUGGACUUAGGUCGCGCCUAGGACUUGGGUCUCUACGAGCAGUCACCCUCUAUCUCCUGAGUCUAAGUCUGACUGCUUAGCAUUGGGCUGUAACUCCAAUUUGAGCCGAUUUAUAGAAUCAACUCGCUACCCCGAUUUAAUCGAAUCACGGACUGUUUCGUAUCGGUCAGACUUUUUACGACCUAGUAUGAGGGAGGCAAGGUUUUAUUAACAGAAAGAUCGGUAGAGUUUACCUGAUGUUGUAUGCCUACAUACAUCUGUACAAAAUUUCACAUCUAAGUGAGUAAAACGAGGCAUACAUCAGUGAACAACUUUAGAGAUCUUUCUGUUAAUAAAGCCUUGCCUCCCUCAUAUAGACUAGAAAUAACGACAUAUAAAAACCGUACCUAGAUAGGUAGACGAACCUUCGUCCGUAUCCGGAGAGUCUAAGAGUUCCUUACAUAACAAUCUCAAGAAGUAAAAAACAAGCCGCCAAUACUUCAACCCCCACCUUCUCCACUUACCUGCUGGUUGUUGUGGAGUGAUGGGGGUGUUUGAGGUCUGUACAUAUCAUUCCUACUCAAUGUAGUGUUCGGACACAACCUUUGUGACAUAAUAUAUAUAUAACUUAUUUAUCCUAAGGGGCAAAUCCAAGGUG
rnacentral:rRNA from 1 species